rnacentral:rRNA from 1 species
UAGGGAAUCUUCCGCAAUGGGCGAAAGCCUGACGGAGCAACGCCGCGUGAGUGAUGAAGGCCUUCGGAUUGUAAAACUCUGUUAUCAGGGAAGAACAAAUGCGUAAGUAACCAUGCACGUCUUGACGGUACCUACUCAGAAAGCCACGGCUAACUACGUGCCAGCAGCCGCGGUAAUACGUAGGUGGCAAGCGUUAUCCGGAAUUAUUGGGCGUAAAGCGCGCGUAGGCGGUUUUUUAAGCCUGGUGUGAAAGCCCACGGCUCAACCGUGGAGGGUCAUUGGAGACUGGAAGACUUGAGUGCGGAAGAGGAAGGUGGAAUUCCAUGUGUAGCGGUGAAAUGCGCAGAGAUGUGGAGGAACACCAAUGGCGAAGGCGGCUUCCUGGUCUGUAACUGACGCUGAUGUGCGAAAGCGUGGGGAUCAAACAGG